rnacentral:misc_RNA from 1 species
AGAAAAAAACAUUGGCCCCAGCUCAGCCAACCACUGGGGCUCCACUGCAGUGGCACACUGCAUGUAUUCCUUUGUUGUCAAAAUCAAUUCAUGAUAUACCACGUACUCUGGAGUAUAACCUAAACCAUAUAAGGCACUGCUUGGGUGAAGAUGGCAUGGCAUUCCAUUCCUGCAAUUAACAUAUUCCCCAACACCCUUUAAUCUUGCAGCAUUGUGAAAAUAUGCAGAACAUAUGGCCUUUCGUAUAACAUCCCAAUCAUGACCACAAGAAGUUAAUGGAAUUUUCAAAGUUUUGAGAAUAUCUAGAAGCUGGGAUCUGACUUCUCUAGCCUUCCGUAAUCCUUUGACAUGCAAAAAGUGAUCGUUGCACCAAUCUCCACGGUAUUGAUGCUCUUUCCAUUGCAAAUAAACAUUAAGCAGAGUCAGGUGGUCAGAUUCGGGAACAAAAAAUUUUUCCCUUGCAGCAUCACUCUCCUCUGCCCUAUCUUUGGGCCGGAAAAACACUGAUGGCACUGAAAGCAUUGACACAAUUGUCAAAACCUCAUUUAUACAUCCUAGUUGUUCUCCCAUCAAGAGCAUCUUAGCUAGUGGGGGGUCUAGAGG